rnacentral:rRNA from 2 species
AUAAAUUGAGAGUUUGAUCCUGGCUCAGGACGAACGCUGGCGGCGUGCCUAAUACAUGCAAGUCGAACGAGAAUUUCUUACACCGAGUGCUUGCACUCACCGUAAGAAAUUCGAGUGGCGGACGGGUGAGUAACACGUGGGUAACCUGCCCAAAAGAAGGGGAUAACAUUUGGAAACAAAUGCUAAUACCGUAUAACCAUGAUGACCGCAUGGUCAUUAUGUAAAAGGUGGUUUUGCUAUCGCUUUUGGAUGGACCCGCGGCGUAUUAACUAGUUGGUAGGGUAACGGCCUACCAAGGUGAUGAUACGUAGCCGAGUUGAGAGACUGAUCGGCCACAAUGGGACUG